AGAGUAUGGGAGAGGAUGGUAGAAUUCCAGGUGUAGCGGUGAAAUGCGUAGAGAUCUGAAGGAAUACCGAUGGCGAAGGCAGCCAUCUGGCGUAAUACUGACGCUGAGGUACGAAAGCAUGGGGAGCAAACAGGAUUAGAUACCCUGGUAGUCCAUGCCGUAAACGAUGUCUACUAGCCGUUGGGGCCUUUGAGGCUUUAGUGGCGCAGCUAACGCGAUAAGUAGACCGCCUGGGGAGUACGGUCGCAAGACUAAAACUCAAAUGAAUUGACGGGGGCCCGCACAAGCGGUGGAGCAUGUGGUUUAAUUCGAUGCAACGCGAAGAACCUUACCUGGCCUUGACAUACUAGAAACUUUCCAGAGAUGGAUUGGUGCCUUCGGGAAUCUAGAUACAGGUGCUGCAUGGCUGUCGUCAGCUCGUGUCGUGAGAUGUUGGGUUAAGUCCCGCAACGAGCGCAACCCUUUUCCUUACUUGCCAGCAUUUCGGAUGGGAACUUUAAGGAUACUGCCAGUGACAAACUGGAGGAAGGCGGGGACGACGUCAAGUCAUCAUGGCCCUUACGGCCAGGGCUACACACGUGCUACAAUGGUCGGUACAAAGGGUUGCUACACAGCGAUGUGAUGCUAAUCUCAAAAAGCCGAUCGUAGUCCGGAUUGGAGUCUGCAACUCGA
rnacentral:rRNA from 1 species